GGGUACGAUCAUACCAGUGUCAGUGCACCGGAUGCCAUCAUAACUCCGCAGUUAAGUGCACUUGGGUCGGAGUAGUACUGGGAUGGGUGACCUCUCGGGAAGUCCUGGCGUUGCACCCU